rnacentral:rRNA from 1 species
AGAGUUUGAUCCUGGCUCAGGUUGAACGCUGGCGGCAUGCCUUACACAUGCAAGUCGAACGCAGCACGGGGGCAACCCUGGUGGCGAGUGGCGAACGGGUGAGUAAUGCAUCGGAACGUGCCCCGUAGCGGGGGAUAACCAGUCGAAAGAUUGGCUAAUACCGCAUACGCUCCACGGAGGAAAGCAGGGGAUCGCAAGACCUUGCACUAUGGGAGCGGCCGAUGCCCGAUUAGCUAGUUGGUGAGGUAAAGGCUCACCAAGGCGACGAUCGGUAGCUGGUCUGAGAGGACGACCAGCCACACUGGGACUGAGACACGGCCCAGACUCCUACGGGAGGCAGCAGUGGGGAAUUUUGGACAAUGGGCGCAAGCCUGAUCCAGCCAUGCCGCGUGCGGGAAGAAGGCCUUCGGGUUGUAACCGCUUUUGGCAGGAACGAAACGGCGCUCGCUAAUACCGAGCGCUAAUGACGGUACCUGCAGAAUAAGCACCGCCUAACUCCGUGCCAGCAGCCGCGGUAAUAC